CAUGAGAUAGCUUUUUUGUGCAAUUCUAUUUUACCAAGACUACCGCAACUAUACAAAAAAGCAACGGAAAACCCGUUGUUUUUUUU
rnacentral:sRNA from 1 species